rnacentral:rRNA from 1 species
CGCGUGGGAAUCUGCCCUCAGGAGGGGAGUAACGGUUAGGUAAACGGGACCGGCCUAAUAACCCACUAUGCCGACGAGGUGAAAUAGAAUUUCGUCCUGAGGAUGAGCCCGCGUCUGAUUAGCUAGUUGGUGAGGUAAGAGCUCACCAAGGCAUCGAUCAGUAGCUGGUCUGAGAGGAUGAUCAGCCACACUGGGACUGAGACACGGCCCAGACUCCUACGGGAGGCAGCAGUGGGGAAGUUUUCCGUCAAUGGGCGAAAGACCUGACGGAGGCAACGCCGCGUGAGGGAGUGAAGGCCU